GGGUGGGGUAGGCGGGGAGAGCUGCCACUGGAUCUGCUUAAUCUGGAACCAGGGUCAAAGCAGUGACUGUCGGAAGCCACCAGGCCAAGAUGUCUUUCUAUCAUGGCUGGUGUCUUAUCACCAUACCCAGAGAGGGCUUCCCUUGGAGCUCUAGAAAGACGAUGACAGCAAAAAGAAACUGUUCUGUUGAUGGCUCUGGAGAGGCCCCCUGGAACUCUAGUUCUCAGCAGCCAACUCUGGUGAUGGAGGAUGGGAUUUAAAUGGUGGACACCUAAAGGAGAAGAAAGCACAAAAGAUGUGUUUCUUUAAGAAGAGGGCAGUUGGACUUCCCUGGUGGUACAGUGAAUAAGAAUCCACUGGGGACAUGGGCUCGAUUCCUAGUCUGAGAAGAUUCCACAUGCCAUGGGCAACUAAAGCUUUUGUACCACAACUACUGAGCUCUAGGGCCAGAGAGCCACAGCUAAUGAGCCUCUGUGCUGAAGCCCUCGAAUCCUAGAGCCUGCCUGCUGCUAAUACUGAAGCCGGUGUGCCUAGAGCCUGUGCUCCGCAAGGAAGAGCAGCCCCUGCUCGCUGCAGCUAGUGAAAGCCCUUGCACAGAAAUGAAGAUCCUGUGCAACGAAAAAUAAAUAAUAAUGAAAAAAAGGAAAAAACCAGUUAUUUCAAAUUUGCUGGCCUCUUGCUUGUGACUGUCUGUGUGUGUGAGCUCACACGGAAGCACACACACAUCCCCACACCCACUCCCCCCUGCACACACAUAUAUAUACACACACACACACACACAAUGUAUCCCUUCAGGUAAAGGUGAUGUUUUGGGAGUUAAUAUGACUGUGCUUUAAAAUAAUCAUGUUAUGGGGAAAGCAUUUUGAAAAUUGAUGUUUGGAACUGUUUCUAUUAUUAUGUGAUUUUAAUGCCAAAAUGAAGUGUCUCAUUGCCAACUAUAGAGACUGGCAUAGCCACAGCCUCCAAAAUUAAGAAGUACACUUUUAAAACCCAUUUUGCAUUCUUCCAAAUGAAGAGUUUCUGGAGUUUAAAAAAUCCCAUUGUUAAAAAUAUCCCCAGAAACAACUGAUGAAAAUGAAACGGCUUCUAAAACAUCAACCAGCUUAUACUGGUUUUUGCCUCCCCAACCAGCUUAAACUGGUUCUGCUUCCUUCAAAUAAGUUCAUUAAUCAAACCUUGACUUAUUUUACAGAGACAACAGUGCAAGAUGGGAAACCAUCUCUCCAGGAUGACCCCCAACCAAGAAUCUUCAGUCUACAGAACUCAAAGAAUCAAAAGGUUGCCACUGGAACCCUUAACAAAGCAAAGAACUAAGUCAUUCAAUAAGGAAAACCUGGCUUCCAGUAGCAUGACUAGCUUAUAUGUUCUGAUUCAAGACUAGCCAAUCAGCUUCCAAGUUUGAAAUUCCCCUAACCCCUUAAAUUUUAUUUAAACCAACCCUGGAUCAUGGAGACAGAUUUGAGAGCUUUGUCUCCUGUCUCUCUGCUGGUUAACCUCACAAUAAAGAUUUUUUUCCCCCUCAAAACCAGUGACAUAUUAUUGGCUACUAUACACAUCAGGCAUUGAACACUUGCUUGAUAACAAAAACAUCAGGAAUGAAGGCUUCAUGGACAAAGAAGGGUUUUCUGGGGGAACGUCACAUUUGCAAAACUGAUAUUAGAUGGAAUUUAAGCAGUGAGAAUUAUGGUUUAAUAAGUGUAGUGAAAGAUAAAAUUCUUCUAUUUGGGUGUAUUUAUCUUUGUGAGGUUUUUGUUUUGCAAUAAUAGCCAUUAGGACUAAGUAUUGACAUUAAUUGAACUUAAAAGCAUACUUUCUAGUCUCAUAAAAUAUUAAAG
ensembl:lncRNA